GACGAACGCUGGCGGCGUGCUUAACACAUGCAAGUCGAACGAAGAGCGAUGGAAGCUUGCUUCUAUCAAUCUUAGUGGCGAACGGGUGAGUAACGCGUAAUCAACCUGCCCUUCAGAGGGGGACAACAGUUGGAAACGAAUGCUAAUACCGCAUACGAUCUAAUCUCGGCAUCGAGGAUAGAUGAAAGGUGGCCUCUACAUGUAAGCUAUCACUGAAGGAGGGGAUUGCGUCUGAUUAGCUAGUUGGAGGGGUAACGGCCCACCAAGGCGAUGAUCAGUAGCCGGUCUGAGAGGAUGAACGGCCACAUUGGGACUGAGACACGGCCCAGACUCCUACGGGAGGCAGCAGUGGGGAAUCUUCCGCAAUGGACGAAAGUCUGACGGAGCAACGCCGCGUGAGUGAUGACGGCCUUCGGGUUGUAAAGCUCUGUUAAUCGGGACGAAAGGCCUUCUUGCGAAUAGUGAGAAGGAUUGACGGUACCGGAAUAGAAAGCCACGGCUAACUACGUG
rnacentral:rRNA from 1 species